UUUAUCAAUGAGGUAGAGCGGAAGCGAGAGGUGGGCGGUGCCAAGAGGCUUCAGGACUCGCCUACCCGUGCUAUGGACGAUUUACGUAAAGUUUUCCAGGUUCGGUGCGGGAAAGAAUCGGUCUGGUCGUCUGAGUUGGGGCUUGCACAAGCUUCUGUGGUCUUUCCUGAAAUGUAAGCCAGCCUGUAGGCUUUUUAGAGCUGAGUACAUCUUUCCUCAGAGUUCUACCACACAGGUAGAAAGGCAGGCACCAAAGACCAGCUCACUCGGACUAGUCUAAGCCAGUCUGGCAGGUGCUUUUUCCUGGCAAGUAGCCCAGGUCGAAGUCAAAGCCAGCUAAGCUCUGGGUGGGGCUUGCUUUGCAGAAACUAGACUUAUAUGGUGGGGAGAGGCGGGACACAUGGCCUUAAAAGGAAUUUGCACCCAGGCAGGGCGUGGUGACCCACGCCUUUAAUCCCAGCACUCAGAGGCAGAGGCAGGCAGAUUUCUGAGUUCGAGGCCAGCCUGGUCUACAAAGUGAGUGCCAGGACAACCAGGGCUACACAGAGAAACCCUGUCUCGAAAAACCAAAAAAAAAAAAAAAAGAAAGAAAGAAAAAAAAAGAAAACAAGAAUUUGCACCCUAGAGAAAAAGAGUCUCAGUGGCACCAAAGGCAGUCGCUUCCCAUGCUUAGGCUGGGAUCUUGAGGGCUGACCUCGGGUAGAAGGCUAUCUCACUGAGUGAUGGUCACAGGGACAGCAGGCGCUGUGUAUAAGGUCUAAUCGGAUUGAAUAGGCAGUACCACUAGAGGUAGCAAUUCAUUUUGGUGAACAGCUAGGUCCUUAAAGUGUUAGGGUGGGUGUGGGGAAACGAGGUGGGCGGGGACUAGACUGGACUCUGAGUCACUUGCCAGUGAUAAAUGGAUACAAAGCUCUGUCUAUACCUGGAAGAUAAUCACUAGGGAUAUCAGUGACCCAGAAUAGGAGAAAAACUCAAUUCUGGUCCUUUCUCUAUCCUCAAAGAAGGCAUUUGUGGUGGUUUGACUGGGAAAGCCCCCCCACCCCCCAGGCUCAGUCAUUUGAAAUCCUGGUUUCCAGUUGGAGGUACUGUUUGGAGGAAAUGUAGUUUCGAGGGACAGCCAAGUCACAGGGGCAGGCUUUGAGAGUUCAAAGACUCCCACCAUUCCUACUUUGGUCUCUGCUUCCUGCUUGUGGUUUGAGAUCUGAGCUAUCACCUUUCUACCAUGAUGGUGAUGACCUCUUACCCCUCUGGAACUGUAGGCUCAAAUACACACCUCUUUAUUUAAGCUGUCUUGGCUGUUGUUUUAUAUUACAGCAGCAGACAAGUAACUCAUACAGCACUCUGUAUAAGCUAUUCCCAGAGCUUCUUAGGACAGGAUGGUUCUACUACAAGUAGUCUGUUUCCUAGAUCCCUGAUCAGCCACAAGAGACCUCUAAAAAAUGAGCUAAAGCCUCAUUUUAAUGUACACUUUAAAGGACUCUUGGAAUAGGAUCUACUUGGCAGGGAAAGGUGCCUGUGGCCAAGACUCCUGACGACUUGAGUUCAAUCCCAGGAUUCACACUGUGGAAAAUGAGAAAAGUUGUUCUCUCUCAAAAGUUGUUUUCUGACCUCUACAAAUGUAGUCUUCACAUGUGUACACACACACACACCACACGUUAAAAAAAAAAGAGAGAGAAAAGAAAAAAAAAACUUUUUGGAGUAGGCCUUCAAAUUAACCAGAAAAAUGAAGACAAGAAUUUCAUAUAGAUAUGCCAUUUUUAAUAUUUAAUUUAAAAUAAACCAAGGCUGGAUUGGGAGAAAAUAUCUGAUUUGCAGAAUAUCUUCUUUUAAAUCAUGAAAUUACAAGUCAUUGAUGAGACCAGAACUUACUUUGGAGAUAAGAGGCGAACCAUCCCCAUUACCUUCACCCACAAGAGCUUGGCACACCCCAAAACUCAAAGGAGGAAUACAUUCUCCAGGACCCCUUCCCAUCUCUACUGAGAGUCAGCUUCCAACCCCAGGCGAGGCUCUGAAUCAGGGCCCACUUCUUGAGAAAAGCAAGGAUCUGUUGGUUCCCACAGAACUGGGCACAUCUGAGAAGCCAUAAGGAGGCCACAGGGACUAGAUGUUUGGACUUUAGAACCUGUAUCAACAGUUGCCAUGGUUCCCAGGUACAACCACCUUAUGGCAGCAUCCUCAGUCACAGAGGGCAAGGAAGAUGGAAACCCUGAGCAGAACCAGUCCCCACCACCUUACCAGGCGUAUCAAAGCCCUUCUCCCAGGGGCUGCUUGGCAGAGCAGCCUGUAGCUGCUCAGUCACUGGGGUAGGAGGACAGGCUGAGGGCCCCCAAUGAGGAAAGGCUGGUCUUUGGAGAGGUAUGAAUGUGCAGGUUUAUAAAAGGCAAGAACAGCAUCCUCAUCCAUCUCACACUGGUAAGGCACUGAGAGUAAAGCAGCAAGGCAGGGAUGGAAAAGAAAGACACACGAUCUCCUGGACCCAGUGACUGGGGGAAAACAAAAAUAUUGCAACUGAAGAGAUGCAAGGACCUAUGUCUGUGCAAAAAGAAGUAUCUGAGAAGUGGGUAGCGCCACGCCUGCAUGUCCAUUACCCAUAAUGUUCCCUCCCUGCUCCAGAGUGGGAGGGAAAACAGUUGCGGGGAUCCAGGGAGCAGAACAACAUUGGGUAUUUCCCUGAGCCAUAUGGUUAAAUAUUAAAGAAAUAAAGCUUUACAUACAUGGCAAUAUCCAUCCCUUCCUGUCCUUCACAGUCCCAGUCAGUGUAUAUUCUGACCAUUAGUCCCACUGUAAGGGAUGAUGGAGAGGUCCUAUAGGAAGGACUGACUCAGCAGGAAUAAACACCCACUCCUCCAGUGAAAAGGACAAGUGCACCCAUCCGCUCAUUGCUAAAGUUUAUCACCAUCACUCUGACCUGUACCAGUCUUAAGUCUGAAUUGGAUCACUUGUAGGAAAAAAAAAAAAAA